AAUCCUUCGGGAAUGGGGACAGCGGCGAACGGGUGAGUAACACGUGGGUAAUCUGCCCUCGAUUCUGGGAUAGCCCGGGGAAACCCGGAUUAAUACCGGAUAGCCUCUCGAGCUUACGAGCUCGUGAGAAAAGGUAGCUUCGGCCUCCGAUCGAGGAUGAGCCCGCGGCGGAUUAGCUUGUUGGCGAGGUAAUGGCCUACCAAGGCGACGAUCCGUAGCUGGUCUGAGAGGACGAUCAGCCACACUGGGACUGAGACACGGCCCAGACUCCUACGGGAGGCAGCAGUGGGGAAUCUUGCGCAAUGGGCGAAAGCCUGACGCAGCGACGCCGCGUGGGGGAAGAAGGCCUUCGGGUUGUAAACCUCUUUCAGCAGGGACGAAGCCACUCGGGUUAAUAGCCCAGAGGGUGACGAUACCUGCAGAAGAAGCACCGGCCAACUACGUGCCAGCAGCCGCGGUAAUACGUAGGGUGCAAGCGUUGUCCGGAAUUAUUGGGCGUAAAGAGCUCGUAGGCGGUCUGUCGCGUCGGCUGUGAAAUCCCGAGGCUCAACCUCGGGUCUGCAGUCGAUACGGGCAAACUGGAGUGUUGCAGGGGAGACUGGAAUUCCUGGUGUAGCGGUGAAAUGCGCAGAUAUCAGGAGGAACACCGGUGGCGAAGGCGGGUCUCUGGGCAACAACUGACGCUGAGGAGCGAAAGCGUGGGGAGCGAACAGGAUUAGAUACCCUGGUAGUCCACGCCGUAAACGUUGGGCGCUAGGUGUGGGGCUCAUUCCACGAGUUCCGUGCCGCAGCUAACGCAUUAAGCGCCCCGCCUGGGGAGU
rnacentral:rRNA from 1 species